rnacentral:rRNA from 1 species
GAUCAUGGCUCAGGAUGAACGCUAGCGACAGGCUUAACACAUGCAAGUCGAGGGCAGCAUAGAAGUAGCAAUACUUGGUGGCGACCGGCGCACGGUGAGUAACGCGUAUGCAACCUACCUAGUCAGAGGGAAUAACCCGGCGAAAGUCGGACUAAUACCGCAUAAAACAGGGGCACCGCAUGGUGAUAUUUGUUAAAGAAAUUCGCUGAUAGAUGGGCAUGCGUUCCAUUAGGUAGUUGGUGAGGUAACGGCUCACCAAGCCGACGAUGGAUAGGGGAACUGAGAGGUUGGUCCCCCACACUGGUACUGAGACACGGACCAGACUCCUACGGGAGGCAGCAGUGAGGAAUAUUGGUCAAUGGGCGGGAGCCUGAACCAGCCAAGUCGCGUGAAGGAAGAAAGGAUCUAUGGUUCGUAAACUUCUUCUGCAGGGGAAUAAAGUGCAGGACGUGUCCUGUUUUGUAUGUACCCUGAGAAUAAGGAUCGGCUAACUCCGUGCCAGCAGCUGC